GCUGUCUUCAUUCUGGACGUUAAGGGCAAGCCAUUGAUCAGCCGCAACUACAAGGGCGAUGUGGCCAUGAGCAAGAUUGAGCACUUCAUGCCUUUGCUGGUACAGCGGGAGGAGGAAGGCGCCCUGGCCCCGCUGCUGAGCCACGGCCAGGUCCACUUCCUAUGGAUCAAACACAGCAACCUCUACUGUAUCCACCCCACGUGGUGUCCCUGGAGGUGGGUGUGGGGGCUGUCGGCGAUGGUGGCAGCUCAGGCCAAGAGAGGGUGGGCUGAGGACAGGAGUUGCACCGCACAUCUCUGUGGCUUAGGCUGGGGGCAGGGGCAGGUAGAGAUGAGGGUGGUGGCAAGGGACAGGGUGGAGGUUCGGGGUCUGUAUUCCAUUUACUUCGCCAUAAAUGGCACCUUUUCCUUAACCUUGCUGCCCCUAGUGGUGGCCACCACAUCGAAGAAUGCCAAUGCCUCCCUGGUGUACUCCUUCCUGUAUAAGACAAUAGAGGUAGGUACUAGCCUCCCAUUGGCUAACUGGUCUAUCCAUCUACCCC
rnacentral:sRNA from 1 species